AACGAAAGCUGGCGGCAGGCUUAACACAUGCAAGUCGAACGCCCCGCAAGGGGAGUGGCAGACGGGUGAGUAACGCGUGGGAAUCUACCCAGAUCUACGGAACAACAGCUGGAAACGACUGCUAAUACCGUAUACGCCCUACGGGGGAAAGAUUUAUCGGAUUUGGAUGCGCCCGCGUUGGAUUAGCUAGUUGGUGGGGUAAUGGCCUACCAAGGCGACGCGCCAUAGCUGGUCUGAGAGGAUGAUCAGCCACACUGGGACUGAGACACGGCCCAGACUCCUACGGGAGGCAGCAGUGGGGAAUAUUGGACAAUGGGCGCAAGCCUGAUCCAGCCAUGCCGCGUGAGUGAUGAAGGCCUUAGGGUUGUAAAGCUCUUUCACCGAUGAAGAUAAUGACGGUAGUCGGAGAAGAAGCCCCGGCUAACUUCGUGCCAGCCGCCGCAGUAAAAC
rnacentral:rRNA from 1 species